rnacentral:tRNA from 1 species
GGGGCUAUAGCUCAGGCUGGGAGAGCGCUUGCAUGGCAUGCAAGAGGUCAGCGGUUCGAUCCCGCUUAGCUCCACCA